AGUUAAUUGUUAACUCUCCACAACUCAGGAAUAAUAAGGAGAAAUAAGUCCCAAACCCAAACUGAUUCUUUCUCACUUGUGCACAAGUUCAUGUGAGAAAGGGCUGUUUGUUGGUGGGUACGGACCCUUACACAACAUUAGGUUGUCCAAGAACAGAGAAGUUGAGGGAGUACUAGUACCAAAGUGGGGUUGACACAGAUUUUGCCUCCUGCUGACUCGCCCCUCAGGCAAGCAGUUAAAAGCUUGGGGAAAGAAAAAACCUGCCAAACCAACAGAAAACGUCCAGGACUCAGUAACCAAGUUUUGUAAUUAUGGAUGGACUCUUUUGUGAAGCAGUAGAUGUUUGUGGAAGGUUGGGUAUUUCUUCAGAAGCUUCAAUUAAAGUGAAAGAAAAAAGAAAAAGAAAGGAAAACAAAAAGAAAAGAGGAAAAGAUACUGUUAACAAAAUAAUGCCUCCCAAUGAAAGACUAUAAAUAUGUUUUACACUCUAUUUUAGUGUAUAAAAUUUGAUGAUAUUGAUUAUAGAAAACAAUAUUUUCUUAGCUUUCAUUGAAGAUAAAUGUCCUACUGAAUGUACCUUUAAUUAAUUUAAUGCUUAUAUUUGUGUGAUUGGAAAAAUACUGGGUAAAGAAGUUACAUUUUGAUUAUUUUUAAAUUAUUUGUCAACUGACUACUACUUGCAAACUUUAAGUAACUGAUGACAAUAGUAACUAAAAGUAGAAAAGGUUUGUAUAAAAUUAGUCUGUGAGGUACGUAAAAUUUUAUUUAUAAUGCUUCAAAUGUUUGUGAAUAUACCAGAAAAAGUCAUUUUGUGAGGAAGUUACUGGUAACUGUCACCCAAUUGAUAAUAGGUAACUGCUAACAGGUAAUUAAAAAUCAACUUAUGUGCAGAAUGGUAGCUAGACCUAGCCUCAGGAAAGAUCUGAAUUCAAGUCUUUUUUUUUUCUUUAGAUCACAUUCGCUGCCCCCCAGUUACAUGUAAAAACAAUCUUUAACGUUUUUUUUGAAAAUUUUGAAUUCCAAAUUCUCUCCCUCCUUCCCAUCCCUUUCAUUGAGAAUCAAUUGAAAAUCAAAUUUAGAUUAUACAUGUACAGUCAGGCAAAAUAUAUUUCCAUAUCAGUCAUAUUAUGAAAGAAAACAAACCAAAAAAAAAUCAAGAAAAAAUUCUUAAAAGUAUACUUCAAUAUUAUUGUUCCAUAAGAGCAGGCUGAUUUCAGAAAAGUCUGGGAAGACAUAAACUGAUGUUAGGUGAAGUGAGCAGAACCAAGAGAACACUGUACACAGCAACAAGAAGAUUAUAGGAUGAUCAACUCUGAUGGACAUGGCUCUUUUCAACAAUGAGGUAAAUAAGGAGAAUUUCAAUAGACUUGUGAUGGAGAGAGCCAUCUGCAGCUAAAGAGAGAACUAUGGGGACUGACUGUGAAUCACAACAUAGUAUUUUCACCUUCUUUGUUGUUGUUUGCUUGUAUUUUUUCUGUUUUUUUUCUGUUUUUGAUCUGAUUUUUCUUGUGCAACAUAAUAAAUAUUGGAAAUAUGUUUAAAAGAAUUGUACCUGUAUGGGAUUACUUGCUGUUUAGGGAAGAAGAAGGGAGGAAAGGGAAGGAGAAAAAUUUGGAACACAAGGUUUUGCAAGGGUGAAUGUUGAAAACUAUUUUUGUGUAUAUUUUGAAAAUAAAAGACUAUUAUUUUAAAAAGUAUACUUCAAUAUGCAUACAAAUUCUAUCAAUUCUGUCUCUGAAGUUGGAUACAUUUUUAUCAUAAUUGUCUUAGAUCGUUGUAUUGCUUAGAAUAACAAGUCAUUCAUACUUGAUCAUUAUAUAGUAUUGCUGUUAUGGUAUACAAUGUUCUCCAGGUUCUGUUCAUUUCACUUUGCAUCAGCUCAUAUAAAUCUUUCCAGGUUUUUCUGAGAGCAUCUUGAUUGUCAUUUCUUAUAACACAAUAGUAUUCCAUCACAAUCAAAUACCACAAUUUGUUUAUCCAUUCCCCAGUUGAUGAUCAUCCUUUCAGUUUCCAAAUCUUUGCCACCACAAAGAGCUGCCUGAAAUAUUUUUGUAUAUAUAGGCCCUUGUCCAUUUCUUUGUCUCUUUGGGAUACAAAUCUAGUAGUAACUGGGUUGAACUGUAUACACAGGUUUAUGGUCCUUUGGGCAUAAUUCCAAAUUACUCUCCAAAAUGGUUAAAUCAGUUCACAACUCCAUCAGUGUCUCAAUUUUCCUAUAUCUCCUCCAACAUUUGUUACUUUCCUUUCAUGUCACAUCAGCCCAUCUAAUAGGCGUAGCAUGGAACCUCAGUUGUUUUAAUUUGCAUUUCUCUAAUCAAUAGUAAUUUAAAGCAUUUUUAUGACUAUGGCUUUGAUUGCUUUUUCUGAAAGCUGCCUGUUCAAAUCCUCUGAUCAUUUUCAAUUGAGGAAUGAUUUGCAUUUUUAUAAAUUUGACUCACUUCUCUGAGAAAUUAAUUCUUUAUUAGACAAAUUUGAUGUAAAUAUUUUUCACAGUUAUGAUUACUAUUUCCCUUCAAGCUAUUUUCCAACUAUUUAUCACCCUGUUCAUCCUUUCACUUCUGACUACCACCUUCCCCAAGGUGCCCUCAUUUCUAUCAGUACCUCUCACCUUCUCUUGUCCCCUUCAUCUCCUUUAGGGUAAGACAAAUUUCUAUCCUCAACUGAGUAUGCAUGUCAGUCCCUUUUGGAGCCAAUUCCAAUAAGAGUAAGGUUCUAGACUUCCUGUCAUCUCCCCCAGCUUUCCACUGUAAAAGCUUUUCCUAGCCUCUUUUAUGAGAUAAUUGAACUCAUUCUAAUUCUCUCCCUUCUUCCUUCUCCCAAUGCAUUCCUCUUUAUCACUCAUUAAUUUUUUUUUAUUUUUUUAUUUAUUUUUUGCUGAGGCACUUGGGGCUAAGUGACUUGCCCAGGAUCACACAGCUAGGAAGUGUUAAAUAUCUGAGGCCAGAUUUGAACCUCGGGGCUGGUGUUCAAUCCACUGCACCACCUAGCUGCCACACUCAUUAAAUUUUUUAAGAUAAUCAUCCCAUCAUAUUCAACUCACAUCCAUGCUUGCAGUCUCUGUAUAUUCUUUCUAAAUGACUUAAUAAUUGGAAAAUUCUUAGGAAUUACAAAUGUAAUCUUCCCAUAUAUGCAUGUAAAAGUUCAAUCUUAUUGAAUCUCUAAAGAUUUCUCUUUCCUGUUUACUUUUAUAUGCUUUUCUUGAGUUUGAUAUUUGAAAGUCAAAUUAUCUAUUCAAUUUUGGUUUCUUCAAUCAGGAAUGCUUAAAAUCUUCUAUUUCAUUGAAUAUCUAUUUUCCCCCUGAAGAAAAUUACUCUCAGUUCUUGGUGGUAAUCCUAGGUCCUUUGUCUUCUAGAAUACAUUCCCAGCCAUUCAGUUCUUUGAUGUAGAAGCUCCAAAAUCUUGUGUUAUCCUUACUGUGGAUUAUAAUACUUGAAUUGUUUCUUUCUGGCUGCUUAUAAUAUUUAUCCGCGAUCUGUGAGCUCUGGAAUUUGGCUAUGAUGUUCCUGGGUUUUUCAUUUUGGUAUCUCUUUCAGGGAGGGAUUGAUGUAUCUUUUGACUUCUAUUUUAAUGUCUGGUUCUAGAAUGUCAGGGUAAUUUCCUACUAUAAUUUCUUUAAAGAUGAUGUUUCUAGGCUUUUUUGUUGAACAUAGCUUCCAGAUAGUCUAGUUAUUUCUAAAUCAGUUGUUUUUCCAAUGAGAUAUUUCACAUUUUCUUCUAUUUUUUUUUAUUCUUUUGUUUUCUUGCUUCAUGAUGUCUCAAGGAGCCAUUACCUUCCAUUUUCUCAAUUUUUAUUUCUAAGGACUUAUUUUCUUCAUUGAGCUUUUGUACCUCCUUUUCCAUUUUGUCAAUAUUAUUUUUUUAAGGAGUUCUUCUCUUCAUUGACUUUUUGUACAACUUUUUCUAUGUGGCCAGGUUUGUUUUAUAAGAUGCCCUUCUCUUCAUUGGAUUUUUAUGCCUCUUUUCCAUUUGGCCAAUUCUGCUUAUUAUGGUCUUUUCUUCAAUAUUUUUUCUGUACCUCCUUUACCAAGCUAUUGACUCUUUUUCAUGGUUUUCUUGCAUCACUCAUUUCUAUUCCCAGUUUUUCCUCUACCUUUCUUAUUUAAUUUUUAAAAUGAACUUUGACAAAAAUUAUUUUGGAGCCUGAGACCAAUUCACAUUUUUCUUGGAGCCUUUGGAUUGAAUAGUUUUUAUUUUGUUUUCUUCUGAGUUUGUUUUUGUCUUCCCUAACACCUUAAUAAAUCUUCUAAGGUCAGGAUCUAUUUUUGUUUGUUUUUGCUCAUUUUUCCCAGUCUAUUUCUUAACUUUUAACUUUAUAUUAAAGUUGAGCCCUGCUACUGGGAUGGAAGGUCCAUUGUCUCAAAAUCCAAGGUUUUUGUACAAGUUCUUUAAGUUUUCCAAGGUGGUAUAAUCUAAAGAGAAAUGCAUUUACUACUAUCCUGGCCAAUGCUCUGGUCUGUGAGUGGCCACAAUAAGCAUUCUUUUCUGCCCUAGAACUGUGACCAGGGUUGUUACUCCCUGGAAGCCACAAGCUAUGAUGUACUAGUGCAACUCUUUGCCCUGAAACUGUGACCUGAGAUUUUGACUGCAUUUGAGUAUCAGCAGUUCAAGAGUCCUGCACCCAGUGCCAACAAAGAGACCCGUCAUAUCCUUCUACCUACUUAUCCAACCCCCUUAUCAUCUGUGGGCAGAGAGCUCCAGAAGCAGCCAUUUCCACAGUUGAGUCUGUCUUUCCCAAAGCUUGCUGCUGGUUUGCUGUAUACCAGUAUUGUAGCCUGUGUUCCACUCACCCUGGUAGGAAAUGACUUUCCUGAUGACCUUCUAAUUUGUCAGGUUGGAAAAUUAUUCCACUAAUCCUCCAAAUUUUAUUUUGAGAUUAUUUAAAGUUAUUUGGAGGGAACUUCAGAGAACCCAGAUGAGUCUUUUCUCUGCCAUCUUGGUUCUGCCCCUCCUGAGUUCAAGUUUUGCUCUUUGCAUAUAUUAUCUCGGGGGGAACCUGGGCAUCAUAUACUCUUUCAAUGUUUCAGACAAUCUACUGAUACCAGAAUUUUCAAGUAAGAGUGAUGUGCCCCUUUUUUGUAUCCUCAGAGUUUAGCAUAAUGCUUGGCAUUUAUUAAGUGAUAAAUGUUUAAUGAAUGAAUAAAUUAGUACUGGUAGACAGCUUCCUCACUAAGAGUCUGGCAAACCAACGGAAUCUCAGGCUUGGACCUCCACUCAAAAAAUGUUAAACAACCAGACUAUUCAGAAGCUUCAACAGAAGCACCCAGUGGGAUGAUCCUACCACUGUUUGUUGAGUGAUGCUACUAGCUAUAUGACAGCCAUCUUUUCUCAGCUCAGAUCAUGAGGAGGCAGACAAGAAAAAUGAAAAGAUAAGAAGAUCAGAGCACGAGUAUUGGUUUCUAUUCAGGAAAAAAAACUAGAGCUUCAGAAAGGAAUCAAACUCCAUUAUUCAUUUACAAAGCCAACUCUGCUAAAAGGAAGCAGCUAUUGACACAGUCCACAGAACAAGUCUUAUUCAUGG